rnacentral:sRNA from 1 species
ACUGUUAGCAGCAUAGGAUUGAGGAGUUUAGAACAGCUGGUCACUAUGCCGACCGGGUUUCUGAGUUAAGUUCAGCAUCAAAACUGUGACCUCCUGGGAGUGGAGAGGCCACCAGGUUGCCUAAGGAUGGGUGAACUGGCCCAGGUCAGAAAUGAAGCAGGUCAGAACUCCCCUGCCAUACGGUAGUGGGACUGAGCCUGGGCAACAUAGCGAGACUUUGGUUCUAA